rnacentral:piRNA from 1 species
UGUCCUCAGAUAUCACAAGGCUCUAUCCCC